UCGCCACCGCUGGGCCGGUGCCCCGCUCCUCACCGGCAGCCUGCGCCCAGAUCCCUGCAGCCCUCCACCCCCUUGUCCCAUUGCCUCCACUCUACCCUAGAUAGGAGCUCGUCGGAUUUCUCAAAAGGUCUUCGCCGCCGAGCGCCUGGACGCCGGCCGCCGCCCGGUUUCCCGCUCGUAUCCGCCAUGAUCCUUUGACCCGUGCGCCCCUCGGCCUUGGUGCGCUUCCCGUCGCUGCCUGCUGAGCAAGAUGUCGAGCAAGGUGGAGGUACGGAUAGAAGAUGCAGCGGUGGAGUGGGGCAAGAAUCUGGCGUCGGAGGACGAGAAGAAUCCGGCGUUGGAAACUGACAAGAAUUCGACGAGAGAGGGCGGCGGCAUCGGCGCCAACCUAGAGGGCAAGGAGCAGCUUUAUCAAAGAAAAUGGUGAUCAAAGAAGAAGAAUCUGUAUGAUCAAAGAAGCAGAUGAUUAGUGUAGCUUGAUCAAAGAAGUUGAUGAUUAGCGUAGGUGGCAUUUAGGUAGAUAAAGUACAAUGAAUGGCGAAAGUAUGAGCUUUGCAUCUGAAUUACUGUACCCAGUAAUAAUUCAGCUACUGCAUACUGAGUUCUGGUUUGUAUUUGAUACAGUGAAGUGCAACAAAAUGAAGAUAAUGCAAAGAGUUUAUUCUAUUUCUUUA